rnacentral:rRNA from 1 species
AGUCGAGCGAGCUUGCCUAGAUGAUUUUAGUGCUUGCACUAAAUGAAACUAGAUACAAGCGAGCGGCGGACGGGUGAGUAACACGUGGGUAACCUGCCCAAGAGACUGGGAUAACACCUGGAAACAGAUGCUAAUACCGGAUAACAACACUAGACGCAUGUCUAGAGUUUGAAAGAUGGUUCUGCUAUCACUCUUGGAUGGACCUGCGGUGCAUUAGCUAGUUGGUAAGGUAACGGCUUACCAAGGCAAUGAUGCAUAGCCGAGUUGAGAGACUGAUCGGCCACAUUGGGACUGAGACACGGCCCAAACUCCUACGGGAGGCAGCAGUAGGGAAUCUUCCACAAUGGACGAAAGUCUGAUGGAGCAACGCCGCGUGAGUGAAGAAGGGUUUCGGCUCGUAAAGCUCUGUUGGUAGUGAAGAAAGAUAGAGGUAGUAACUGGCCUUUAUUUGACGGUAAUUACUUAGAAAGUCACGGCUAACUACGUGCCAGCAGCCGCGGUAAUACGUAGGUGGCAAGCGUUGUCCGGAUUUAUUGGGCGUAAAGCGAGUGCAGGCGGUUCAAUAAGUCUGAUGUGAAAGCCUUCGGCUCAACCGGAGAAUUGCAUCAGAAACUGUUGAACUUGAGUGCAGAAGAGGAGAGUGGAACUCCAUGUGUAGCGGUGGAAUGCGUAGAUAUAUGGAAGAACACCAGUGGCGAAGGCGGCUCUCUGGUCUGCAACUGACGCUGAGGCUCGAAAGCAUGGGUAGCGAACAGGAUUAGAUACCCUGGUAGUCCAUGCCGUANACGAUGAGUGCUAAGUGUUGGGAGGUNUCCGCCUCUCAGUGCUGCAGCUAACGCAUUAAG